ensembl:snRNA U6 U6 spliceosomal RNA
GUGUUCACUCGGGCGGCACACACACUAAAACUGGAAUUAUUUGAAGAUUAGCAUGGCCCCUGCCCAAGGCUGACACACAGAUUCAUGAAGUGCUUCAUACUUCA